rnacentral:rRNA from 1 species
GAUGAACGCUGGCGGCGUGCCUAAUACAUGCAAGUCGAGCGAACAGACGAGGAGCUUGCUCCUCUGACGUUAGCGGCGGACGGGUGAGUAACACGUAGAUAACCUACCUAUAAGACUGGGAUAACUUCGGGAAACCGGAGCUAAUACCGGAUAAUAUAUUGAACCGCAUGGUUCAAUAGUGAAAGACGGUUUUGCUGUCACUUAUAAAUGGAUCCGCGCCGCAUUAGCUAGUUGGUAAGGUAACGGCUUACCAAGGCAACGAUGCGUAGCCAACCUGAGAGGGUGAUCGGCCACACUGGAACUGAGACACGGUCCAGACUCCUACGGGAGGCAGCAGUAGGGAAUCUUCCGCAAUGGGCGAAAGCCUGACGGAGCAACGCCGCGUGAGUGAUGAAGGUCUUCGGAUCGUAAAACUCUGUUAUUAGGGAAGAACAAAUGUGUAAGUAACUAUGCACGUCUUGACGGUACCUAAUCAGAAAGCCACGGCUAACUACGUG